rnacentral:tRNA from 1 species
UCCGCAUUCGUCUAGUGGUUAGGAUAUGGCGCUCUCACCGCCAGGGCCGGGGUUCAAUUCCCCGAUGCGGAA